rnacentral:rRNA from 1 species
CCAGCAGCCGCGGUAAUUCCAGCUCCAAUAGCGUAUAUUAAAGUUGUUGCGGUUGAAAAGCUCGUAGUUGGAUUUCUGGACAGGACGACCGGUCUACCCACUGGGUGAGCACAUGGUUCGGCUUGGCCAUUUUCUUGGAGAACGCUUCUGCGCUUCGUUGUGUGGGGUGGUAUCCAAGACUUUUACUUUGAGGAAAUUAGAGUGUUCCAAGCAGGCAUUUGCCCUGUAUACAUUAGCAUGGAAUAAUAAUAUAGGACUUCGGUUCUAUUUUAUUGGUUCUGGACCGAAGUAAUGAUUAAUAGGGACAGUCGGGGGCAUUCGUACUCAACAGUCAGAGGUGAAAUUCUUGGAUUUGUUGGAGACGAACUACUGCGAAAGCAUUUGCCAAGGAUGUUUUCAUUGAUCAAGAACGAAAGU